GAUGAACGCUGGCUACAGGCUUAACACAUGCAGGUCGAGGGGAAACGGCAUUGAGUGCUUGCACUGAAUGGACGUCGACCGGCGCACGGGUGAGUAACGCGUAUCCAACCUUCCCGUUACUGCGGGAUAACCUGCCGAAAGGCAGACUAAUACCGCAUGUUCUUCGAUGACGGCAUCAGAUUCGAAGCAAAGAUCCGUCGGUAACGGAGGGGGAUGCGUCUGAUUAGCUAGUUGGCGGGGCGACGGCCCACCAAGGCGACGAUCAGUAGGGGUUCUGAGAGGAAGGUCCCCCACAUUGGAACUGAGACACGGUCCAAACUCCUACGGGAGGCAGCAGUGAGGAAUAUUGGUCAAUGGGCGGAAGCCUGAACCAGCCAAGUAGCGUGCAGGAUGACGGCCCUACGGGUUGUAAACUGCUUUUAUGCGGGGAUAAAGUGAGGGACGCGUCCCUUUUUGCAGGUACCGCAUGAAUAAGGACCGGCUAAUUCCGUG
rnacentral:rRNA from 1 species